rnacentral:piRNA from 2 species
GGAAUUGCAGAAGCUGGAAGUGGGC